UCAACCUGCGUCAUACUUGCAAUAGACAAGUGAUAUAUAAGGUUCAGCAGCAGACUGGUUAACCAAGAGUUGGAGGAGAAGCAGGACAGGAUUAGAGGAACUUUUUGAAAUCUGCUACUGCUUUGGGACAAAGAUUGGAAAUGGGUUCUAAAGGAAUCUUGAUGAUACUACUGAUACUAAAUGCAAGUACAACGCUGACGGUUGCAGAGACAUCAGCUGCUCCAACCGCAACCACAACUACAGCGACUCAGAUCACAACCACCGCAGCUCCGACCACAACCACAGCUGCUCCAACCACAACCACAGCAACUCCAACCACAAC